rnacentral:rRNA from 1 species
GACGAACGCUGGCGGCGCGCUUAACACAUGCAAGUCGAACGGAUAGGCCUGCUUUCCCUUGUGGAUUGCGGGUACUCGAGUGGCGAACGGGUGAGUAACACGUGAGUGAUCUGCCCCCAACUUGGGUAUAAGCCUGGGAAACUGGGUCUAAUUCCCGAUAGGACUGCAGGGUGGUGCCUGUGGUGGAAAACGAUUUUCUAGUGGUUGGGGAUGAGCUCGCGGCCUAUCAGCUUGUUGGUGGGGUAAUGGCCUACCAAGGCGGCGACGGGUAGCCGGCCUGGGAGGGUGGACGGCCACAGUGGGACUGAGAUACGGCCCAGACUCCUACGGGAGGCAGCAGUGGGGAAUAUUGCACAAUGGGCGGAAGCCUGAUGCAGCGACGCCGCGUGGGGGAUGACGGCCUUCGGGUUGUAAACUCCUUUCGACCGCGAGGAAGCCACCUGGUUGGAAGGGUGGUGACGGUAGUGGUAGAAGAAGCACCGGCUAACUACGUG